rnacentral:snRNA from 1 species
AGCUUUGCGCAGUGGCAGUAUCGUAGCCAAUGAGGUUUAUCUGAGGCGCGAUUAUUGCUAAUUAAAGCUGAAACUGCUUUUCUUGAAAUAAAAAAAAAUAUUAAAAAAUACCUAUUU